rnacentral:rRNA from 1 species
UACAGAGGUCUCAAGCGUUGUUCGGAUUCAUUGGGCGUAAAGGGCGCGUAGGCGGGCGGGCAAGUCGGGUGUGAAUCUCAGAGCUCAACUCUGAAAUGGCACUUGAUACUGCUCUGCUAGAGGACUGGAGAGGAGAUUGGAAUUCACGGUGUAGCAGUGAAAUGCGUAGAUAUCGUGAGGAAGACCGGGUGGCGAAGGCGGAUCUCUGGACAGUUCCUGACGCUGAGGCGCGAAGGCCCAGGGGGAGCAAACGGG